rnacentral:rRNA from 1 species
GGGCGUUAAGUUGCAGGGUAUAGACCCGAAACCCGGUGAUCUAGCCAUGGGCAGGUUGAAGGUUGGGUAACACUAACUGGAGGACCGAACCGACUAAUGUUGAAAAAUUAGCGGAUGACCUGUGGCUGGGGGUGAAAGGCCAAUCAAACCGGGAGAUAGCUGGUUCUCCCCGAAAGCUAUUUAGGUAGCGCCUCGUGAAUUCAUCUCCGGGGGUAGAGCACUGUUUCGGCUAGGGGGCCAUCCCGGCUUACCAACCCGAUGCAAACUGCGAAUACCGGAGAAUGUUAUCACGGGAGACACACGGCGGGUGCUAACGUCCGUCGUGAAGAGGGAAACAACCCAGACCGCCAGCUAAGGUCCCAAAGUCAUGGUUAAGUGGGAAACGAUGUGGGAAGGCCCAGACAGCCAGGAUGUUGGCUUAGAAGCAGCCAUCAUUUAAAGAAAGCGUAAUAGCUCACUGGUCGAGUCGGCCUGCGCGGAAGAUGUAACGGGGCUAAACCAUGCACCGAAGCUGCGGCAGCGACACUGGUGUUGUUGGGUAGGGGAGCGUUCUGUAAGCCUGUGAAGGUGGCCUGUGAGGGUUGCUGGAGGUAUCAGAAGUGCGAAUGCUGACAUAAGUAACGAUAAAGCGGGUGAAAAGCCCGCUCGCCGGAAGACCAAGGGUUCCUGUCCAACGUUAAUCGGGGCAGGGUGAGUCGACCCCUAAGGCGAGGCCGAAAGGCGUAGUCGAUGGGAAACGGGUUAAUAUUCCCGUACUUGGUGUUACUGCGAAGGGGGGACGGAGAAGGCUAUGUUGGCCGGGCGACGGUUGUCCCGGUUUAAGCGUGUAGGUGUGUGUUCCAGGUAAAUCCGGUUCACUUUAACACUGAGGCGUGAUGACGAGGCACUACGGUGCUGAAGCAACAAAUGCCCUGCUUCCAGGAAAAGCCUCUAAGCAUCAGGUAACAUCAAAUCGUACCCCAAACCGACACAGGUGGUCAGGUAGAGAAUACCAAGGCGCUUGAGAGAACUCGGGUGAAGGAACUAGGCAAAAUGGUGCCGUAACUUCGGGAGAAGGCACGCUGACAUGUAGGUGAAGUGAUUUACUCAUGGAGCUGAAGUCAGUCGAAGAUACCAGCUGGCUGCAACUGUUUAUUAAAAACACAGCACUGUGCAAACACGAAAGUGGACGUAUACGGUGUGACGCCUGCCCGGUGCCGGAAGGUUAAUUGAUGGGGUCAGCGCAAGCGAAGCUCCUGAUCGAAGCCCCGGUAAACGGCGGCCGUAACUAUAACGGUCCUAAGGUAGCGAAAUUCCUUGUCGGGUAAGUUCCGACCUGCACGAAUGGCGUAAUGAUGGCCAGGCUGUCUCCACCCGAGACUCAGUGAAAUUGAACUCGCUGUGAAGAUGCAGUGUACCCGCGGCAAGACGGAAAGACCCCGUGAACCUUUACUAUAGCUUGACACUGAACAUUGAGCCUUGAUGUGUAGGAUAGGUGGGAGGCUUUGAAG